CGACGAAUCUUCCGCAAUGGGCGAAAGCCUGACGGAGCAAUGCCGCGUGCGGGAUGAAGGCUACGCCGUGUAAACCGCUGUCGGGGGGUAGAACCAACGAUCACCCCCAAAGGAAGGGGCGACUAACUCUGUGCCAGCAGUCGCGGUAAUACAGAGGCCCCGAGCGUUAGUCGGAAUCACUGGGCUUAAAGGGUGCGUAGGCGGACCGGCAAGCGUCCUGUGAAAUCCCUCGGCUCAACCGGGGAAUGGCAGGGCGGACUGCCGGUCUCGAGGCGGGUAGGGGCGGCUGGAACUGUAGGUGGAGCGGUGAAAUGCGUAGAUAUCUACAGGAACGCCGAUGGUGAAGACGAGCCGCUGGGCCCGACCUGACGCUGAGGCACGAAAGCGUGGGGAGCAAACAGGAUUAGAUACCCUGGUAGUCCACGCCGUAAACGAUGCGCACUAGAUCGGUGCGGCUCUGACGCCGUAUCGGUCGGAGUAAAAACGAUAAGUGCGCCGCCUGGGG
rnacentral:rRNA from 1 species